UUUAAAUUGAGAGUUUGAUCCUGGCUCAGGAUGAAUGCUGGCGGCGUGCUUAACACAUGCAAGUCGAGCGAGAGAGU
rnacentral:rRNA from 1 species